rnacentral:ncRNA from 13 species
AGGCUGGCCCGUGCAGCUGGUUCGCCCCGUCCGCCAGGCGGGAUGCGUCGCAAGAGGGAACCCGGUGGGAAUCCGGGACUGCCCCGCAGCGGUGAGCGGGAACGACCGCCGUCAUACGCACUGGGCCCGACGUACCGGGCCCGGGAAGCGACGGCCAGUAGGUGUCCUCCGGACAGGAGGGUGGGCCCGCGAGUCCGAAGACCUGCCACCUGCCCGCGCGCGGAC